GAUCGGUGCAGUCAGUCUUAAAGGGACAGCAUCCAAAUGUACCUGCUGUCAUUAUUAAUGCAAAUCAAACAACAAAAAAGAGAAAAUCUCUCCCUGCUUGCUUUUGUAACUUUAAUAAGAAUAAAUGUAUAUUUAACUAACACAGUAAAGGCUAUGCAUUGUUUUUAUACAUUUUAAUACUUUAUACAUUUUAUGCAGUAUUUCUAGUGCUUGAAGUUUUUCAUGUCGGUCUAUUUUGUCUGUUUCUUAGUUCUAUUGUAGUUUUUCUUUGCUCUUUCUUUAUCACCGUUUACUUGUCUUCAGUAAGCUUGAGAGUUUUUUUUUUUUUUUAGGCUAGUAUUUUUUUUUUUUUUUAAUUAUAUUGAAAAUGUAUUAUGCUGUAAUGUUACUCUUUUGAUUACAGUCAACUUUUUUCUCAUAAAAGAUGUUUCAUAUUUCUCCACUGUAGGCACUGGUGCUGUAAAGUCUCACAAGAGCUUCAAUCAAAGCCCAGAGAUGACAGAGACGACUCAGAACUCCCAUCCAAGAAACGGGCCAGUACAGUAAAAAAAUCUUUUAUUGAGGCACAAUCUCUCAAUUGAGGAAACUAUUUGUUUUCUCAGUCUAGCUGAGCUGUGGCUGUGCCACCUAAACAAGUCACAAUCUGACCCAGCAUACUCCUGUUCAGCUCGUCAGAAAGCAUAAGAACCUGCCUGGUCUGCUCCUCUCGAGUCAGAGUGCUCAGACUAGGCGAAGGACAUUCUCAGUGUAGCUGAGCUGUGGCUGUGCCACCUAAACAGGUCACAAUCUGACCCAGCAUACUCCUGUUCAGCUCGUCAGAGAGCACAAGAACCUGCCUGGUCUGCUCUUCUUCUGUGAGAGAGCUCGGAGAGUCCUUCUAGCGCAUGUUUACAUAGAAAAACAAUGAAAAAGUAGCGCAUUUGGUGAGGCACAUUCUCAGUGCAGCUGAGCUGUGGCUGUGCCACCUAAACAGGUCACAAUCUGACCCAGCAUACUCCUGUUCAGCUCGUCAGAGAGCACAAGAACCUGCCUGGUCUGCUCUUCUUCUGUGAGAGAGCUCGGAGAGUCCUUCUAGCGCAUGUUUACAUAGAAAAACAAUGAAAAAGUAGCGCAUUUGGUGAGGCACAUUCUCAGUGCAGCUGAGCUGUGGCUGUGCCACCUAAACAGGUCACAAUCUGACCCAGCAUACUCCUGUUCAGCUCGUCAGAGAGCACAAGAACCUGCCUGGUCUGCUCUUCUUCUGUGAGAGAGCUCGGAGAGUCCUUCUAGCGCAUGUUUACAUAGAAAAACAAUGAAAAAGUAGCGCAUUGGAAUGGUGAGGCACAUUCUCAGUGCAGCUGAGCUGUGGCUGUGCCACCUAAACAGGUCACAAUCUGACCCAGCAUACUCCUGUUCAGCUCGUCAGAAAGCACAAGAACCUGCCUGGUCUGCUCUUCUUCAGUCAGAGAGCUCAGAGAGGGUGCAGUCUGCAUCUCAUCUACCAAAUCCAAACACAGACAAGAUUAGCAGCUCCGUUUGCAAAUAAUUAUGAAUGCGUUUAGCAAAAACAUGUUCAUAUUGAUACACCUCGUAGAUUCUCACGCACACUGCCAGUGCUAGAGCCCUCUUGGGUCAUCAAGAUUGUUCGGUCUUAUGUUGACAGCAUGAAUGCAGAUUUGUUGGGCUGCUCGCUUUCUUGAUCAUAGCUAUGGCAAUAGGAGUGGCCGUGCCGUCUCUCGUUUUCCAUCCGAGGCUAUCCUGGUUUAUCUGGAAGUAGCGUAUUCAUAAGCAUGGAAGUGUCCACACUCUGGUGUGUCUCUGGGCCGUGGCUUUGCUGAUAGCCUCAGCGUCUGCUGCUCUGGAGAAGAGGUGGAUUUGUUUAGUGUUGUGGACGCUGCUGCCUUUGCUGACUUCCUCUGUGCAGAAAAAUGCGUUCAUUUCAUCUUCAGUGGUCCUCAGAUUUAUGGCUACCCUCUCCACUGCCUGCUCCUCCAGCCUCGGACAUCUGCAUCAGGAGCCCAGCUCGUCUCUCUGGACAAUGGCUUUGCUGAUAGCCUCAGCGUCUGCUGCUCUGGAGAAGAGCUGGAUUUGUUUAGUGUUGUGGACGCUGCUGCCUUUGUGCAGAAAAAUGCGUUCAUUCCAUCUUCAGUGGUCCUCAGAUUUAUGGCUACCCUCUCCCUGCUCCUUCAGCCUCGGACAUCUGCAUCAGGAGCCCAGCUCGUCUCUCUGGACAAUGGCUUUGCUGAAUGCCUCAGGCAGCGUUAAGUGUUGUGGACGCUGCUGCCUUCGCUGACUUCCUCUGUGCAGAAAAAUGCGUUCAUUUCAUCUUCAGUGGUCCUCAGAUUUAUGGCUACCCUCUCCACUGCCUGCUCCUCCAGCCUCGGACAUCUGCAUCAGGAGCCCAGCUCGUCUCUCUGGACAAUGGCUUUGCUGAUAGCCUCAGCGUCUGCUGCUCUGGAGAAGAGCUGGAUUUGUUUAGUGUUGUGGACGCUGCUGCCUUUGUGCAGAAAAAUGUGUUCAUUCCAUCUUCAGUGGUCCUCAGAUUUAUGGCUACCCUCUCCCUGCUCCUUCAGCCUCGGACAUCUGCAUCAGGAGCCCAGCUCGUCUCUCUGGACAAUGGCUUUGCUGAAUGCCUCAGGCAGCGUUAAGUGUUGUGGACGCUGCUGCCUUCGCUGACUUCCUCUGUGCAGAAAAAUGUGUUCAUUCCAUCUUCAGUGGUCCUCAGAUUUAUGGCUACCCUCUCCACUGCCUGCAUCCUCCAGCCUCGGACAUCUGCAUCAGGAGCCCAGCUCGUCUCUCUGGACAAUGGCUUUGCUGAAUGCCUCAGGCAGCGUUAAGUGUUGUGGACGCUGCUGCCUUCGCUGACUUCCUCUGUGCAGAAAAAUGUGUUCAUUCCAUCUUCAGUGGUCCUCAGAUUUAUGGCUACCCUCUCCCUGCUCCUUCAGCCUCGGACAUCUGCAUCAGGAGCCCAGCUCGUCUCUCUGGACAAUGGCUUUGCUGAAUGCCUCAGGCAGCGUUAAGUGUUGUGGACGCUGCUGCCUUCGCUGACUUCGUGCUGGUUGUCUGCAAGCAUAUGGUCUCCCUGGGCAACGGGCUUUUCUUCCUCCAGUUCCAUUCCAGUCUGAAUGUGGCAGUUUCCUUACUGGACAAAAACCCAUCAACAGAUAAUAGACUCCGGGGCAAAUCCGCCUUCAAGUCACCAGCUCUGCUGUACACUCAGAUUCAGUUCGGCAAUGCACACAGAAUAUGCCCCGUCGUCACUGAAUCAUUCUCCUCACCGUGGAAAAGCUGGAGCCGACAGGUCGGUGAAGACUGAACACGCUUACAGCUCAUUCAAGUGCCACCAGUGUGUUUUUGGAGUAUUUCAUCUUUUUAUUUCACCUUUACCGAACGUCUGAGUAAAGAUGUUCCACUUAAUCGAGCUCUUGAUCAAUAAAAUGGUAGCAGUGGUGCCACAAACCUGGUGUAGAGAUGGAGUUCUCUGUUGGCCAAACUACAAUGAUGAAAGAGUAAACAGGGCAGUGAAAAAUUCAGAGGAGCCUGGACCUGACUGGAAAACAUAUGAUGUCAGAGUUAUUGAAACAUGUGGUAUGCAAUUUUUUUUUUUUUUUUUUUUAAAGUCAAAAUGACUAUUGUAAGCAAAUAUAAAAAUAUUUUGCCCUUAUGUAAUUGAAAAAAAAAAAAUCCUUUUAAUCGGUCUCAUACUGUUCUGUUGUCUGUAAUUAUAUUCUUUUUUGCUCUGAUCAUUUGAAACAAACUGAUUUGUCUUGGACCGGAGCAGAAAUGUGCCAGGUACCUGAACAUCGGUGCUAUGGGCUCUGUCCCUGAUGAGCCAGGAGGCUUGUGGGCUUAUAUUUAUGCCAAUCAUUUUAUUUAUUUAUUAUUCUUUAUUGUAUAUAGUUAUUACAGCCUCAGGCUUGUUUGUUGCCAGUCCGACAGCAUCACAUGUGGAGGACAACACCAAGCCGAUCGAUCAUGAGGUGGUCUGUCUAUCUGCUUGCAUCACGAGGGCUAGGGUACACAAGGUGAAUGCAGCGGCACCGGCAUGAGUAAAGAAGUGCAUAUGCUACUUCCAGAUCAACCAGGUAGCCCCGGAUGGAGAACUGUGACACGCUGGCUUCCUACACGCGGGUCUCGCUCUGCUCGGGCCCGAGGCUCAUAUCAUCAUCAUCAUCAUCAUCAUUAUUAACACAAGAUUUUCUUUACAGACUCUCCUCUUGCCAGGACGAUGAUCAAGAGAGCGGUCAGACCAACAGAUUGGCAACAUACCAGACCGGGCAAUCUGGACUUGCCAAUCCCAGGUGAUCCAAGAGGGCUCAACGAGAUGUGCUCCAGGCUGCACCCAAUCUGCCUGAAGAAGAGCAGACCAGGCCGGUUCUGGCGCUCUCAGAGGAGCUGAACAGGGGUGUUCUGUGUCAGAUUGUGACCUGUUUGAGUGGCACAGCUCCACACCAUAGGACAUGUAGGACAGAUAUGCUGUCUGGGCAACCAGACAGUCACUCUGGAGGAAGCGAAGGCGGCAGCUUCUGCUCACGCUCCGUGGGGUAUUUAGCAAAGCCAUAGUACAGAGGGGCUUCUUUCUCCAGUGGAGAGAGAAGCCCUAGAAGAGCAGCACACUGCGUUUGUUUUAUUUAGGUUGCUGUUGCUUUGGUUUUGUUGUGUGUAUAUAGUUGGUUUCACAUUGUUUUAUGCUUUCAUGUAACUUUUAAUCUUGUUAAUUUCUAGUUUUCCCCAUGUUUCCUAAGAGUUUUUAUUGUUAUUUGGUUGUUAAUUAGUAUUUAUUGAUUUUGUGUGUUCUUGUUUGUUCAAUAGUUUACUUUCUUUUAUUGUUCAUGUUUUGUUAUGCUGUGCUUUGUAUAUAGUUCUUUUUUUAAAAUAAUAAAUAAUCUCCCUUAACCCAUUGCUUAAUUUCAUUCUUUUCUUUUUAGUACCAAUACUUUUUUUUAUUCAGUAUAAAUAUUAAAACAUGUGAUCAUGGGAACAAAAGUCAAAUUUUUAGACUCAUAAAUGCUUUGAUCUGAAAUGUUAUGCUUCGACGGGCUCAUGAAGACACAGAACCCCUGCUAUUGUCCACUAAUAUGGACAAAAUGCAUUAUUAAUCAUGUAAAAUGUAUGUUGAAUAUGACUAGAUCUCUAGAGGUUGAUAUCCUGGUGGAGUGAUGAGUUGAUUUAAAAACUUUUUUUUUUUUUUUUCACCAGUUUUAUAGACUAAACUUAAAGUAGGUAAACUGAGCUGAAAGAGGAGCGUCUCUACAAUACUGUCUGGUAAGUUCUACUUAUCUUUUUCUUUCCUUUUUUGUAUAUAUGUGUGUGUGUGUGUGUAUACACAUGUGUGUGUUUGUGUUAACAGGCAGUAGGUCUUGUGAUCAGACCCAAAGACGAUAAACAGACCCAGUAGCAGCUCAAGAUGUCAACGCUUCAGCCGUCAAGUCAAACAGGUUCAGAUUACAUUUGAUAUGUUAUCCAGAUUUUCUUAGAAGGGUAUUAAUGCUAAACAUAAAGCCUUACUAAGGUCUUGAUGGCCUUGCUUCUUCUUUUACAGGCACUGGACCCCGUGAAACAGCUGUUCAGUGGACCGCUGGCUUCCAGAAGCGUCGUUCUGCUGACUUUAUUUUUCUGCAUUUCAUUUGGGUAGACUGAA